GUGGGGAAUAUUGGACAAUGGGCGCAAGCCUGAUCCAGCCAUGCCGCGUGAGUGAUGAAGGCCCUAGGGUUGUAAAGCUCUUUCACCGGUGAAGAUAAUGACGGUAACCGGAGAAGAAGCCCCGGCUAACUUCGUGCCAGCAGCCGCGGUAAUACGAAGGGGGCUAGCGUUGUUCGGAAUUACUGGGCGUAAAGCGCACGUAGGCGGGUAUUUAAGUCAGGGGUGAAAUCCCGGAGCUCAACUCCGGAACUGCCUUUGAUACUGGGUACCUAGAGUAUGGAAGAGGUAAGUGGAAUUCCGAGUGUAGAGGUGAAAUUCGUAGAUAUUCGGAGGAACACCAGUGGCGAAGGCGGCUUACUGGUCCAUUACUGACGCUGAGGUGCGAAAGCGUGGGGAGCAAACAGGAUUAGAUACCCCAGUAGUCC
rnacentral:rRNA from 1 species